CUUCCAGCCUCUCACCUCUCUUUUAAAGGAAGCGAUCCUGGAAUGGGGGAAAUUCUGCUAUCCGAGGGAAGCGACCUACUGGAGAGAGACAGAAGUAGAGAUGGUUCACCCGCCAUUAACUGAUCAACAGCUGCAACAUGGGCGAGGCCUUAUUGUGCGGGUGGAGCGAGAGAGUGGAUGGAGGAUUGUUAACAGGGGAGCAGCAGUAAAGCAUGUACGAGGCAAUAUCUGGAAUUCAUAUGCAAACAAAGAGGGAUUGUGAAACUGAAGUAGGAGGUCGGAGGGUCACACACCCAACCAUGUCCAACUCUGCUGCUAGACUCGGUUUGGAGGCCAGUAAUGGUGUGGCAGAUAUGCUGAGAUCUGUCACUGAGUUUCUCCCAGAGACUGGAGCUGUGGGCAGCUGAUUGAUGGUGGAUUGAUUCCUCUGAAACUGGCAGCCACAACCAAGUCGACUUGGAUCAUUAUGGUACAGCUGAGACAUUUAAGUUUGGAGUUUCCAAGAAUAGUGAUGCUUUUCCCACUCUGUCACCUCCCAGAUAUCUACAAUGGUCAUCUCCCUAACAUCAGCUGCUGCUGCAAUGCUUCACUGCUGCUAUCUGCACCUUAGUCAUAGAGUCACAUAAAGGAUAAAACAGGCCAUUCAGCCCCUCAUCCGUGCCAACCAAGAUGCACCAU